rnacentral:rRNA from 1 species
CUACGGGCUGCUCCAGUGGGGAAUAUUGGGCAAUGGGCGCAAGCCUGACCCAGCAACGCUGCGUGAGUGAAGAAGGUUUUCGGAUUGUAAACCUCUGUCCUUGGGGACGAAGAAAUGACGGUACCCAAGGAGGAAGCUCCGGCUAACUACGUGCCAGCAGCCGCGGUAAUACGUAGGGAGCAAGCGUUGUCCGGAAUUACUGGGCGUAAAGGGUGCGUAGGCGGCAUAUUAAGUCAGGUGUGAAAUACUCGGGCUCAACCCGGGGGCUGCAUUUGAAACUGAUAUGCUUGAGUGUGAGAGAGGAAAGUGGAAUUCCUAGUGUAGCGGUGGAAUGCGUAGAUAUUAGGAGGAACACCAGUGGCGAAGGCGACUUUCUGGCUCAUAACUGACGCUGAGGCACGAAAGCGUGGGGAGCAAACAGGAUUAGAUACCCUAGUAAUC